rnacentral:rRNA from 1 species
GUAGGUGGCGAGCGUUAUCCGGAAUUAUUGGGCGUAAAGAGGGAGCAGGCGGCACAAAGGGUCUGUGGUGAAAGAUCGAAGCUUAACUUCGGUAAGCCAUGGAAACCGUAGAGCUAGAGUGUGUGAGAGGAUCGUGGAAUUCCAUGUGUAGCGGUGAAAUGCGUAGGUAUAUGGAGGAACACCAGUGGCGUAGGCGACGAUCUGGCGCAUAACUGACGCUCAGUCCCGAAAGCGUGGGGAGCAAAUAGGAUUAGAUACCCUAGUAGUCCACGCCGUAAACGAUGAGUACUAAGUGUUGGGGGUCAAACCUCAGUGCUGCAGUUAACGCAAUAAGUACUCCGCCUGAGUAGUACGUUCGCAAGAAUG